GGGGGGCACCCGGAGCCCGCGCUCCGGAAGUGAAGCGGUCACUCCACCCGCUAAUGGAUGCGCGGCGGCCGCCCAGCAGACCGCUCUCGGCGCCAGGGACAGCUUGAUUUGGGUGAAGUGAAGACGCAUACAGACUAUUAUAUAGAAGUGGGAGACAUCUUCCUGAGCUGCAAACUGAAUACAUGGCUCCUUGAUUCUUGAGGAACAUUCUGGAGCACAUAAACAGGCGUCCCCACCAUCUUGCUGUGUGACUCCCCAGAGGUUUGAGCUACAGUGGAAGCCACCUCUCCACUGACCGGAGAGAGCCAAAGUGAC